UACAUAGGUCUCAAGCGUUGUUCGGAUUCAUUGGGCGUAAAGGGUGCGUAGGCGGCGCGGUAAGUCGGGUGUGAAAUCUCGGAGCUUAACUCCGAAACUGCAUUCGAUACUGCCGUGCUUGAGGACUGGAGAGGAGACUGGAAUUUACGGUGUAGCGGUGAAAUGCGUAGAUAUCGUAAGGAAGACCAGUGGCGAAGGCGGGUCUCUGGACAGUUACUGACGCUGAGGCACGAAGGUCAGGGGAGCAAACGGG
rnacentral:rRNA from 1 species